rnacentral:lncRNA from 1 species
CGUGCUAAUCCAAUGUCUUAUGCUCCGUGUUAGGCAGUGCCUUGGAUAGUUUUGCCUCUAGCUACUUCCAAGUUUCAAUUAUCAUUAGUGGCCAAAAAAAUGGAUUUAGAAACACCAAACCAAAUCGAAUCAAAGUUCAAGAAAUUAAAUCUAACCAAAUUUUUGGUUUGUUGUUUGGUGUUCAUUUUUGCAAAACAAAAUAUCGAAGAACCUAAUUGAACUUAAACAAAAUCGAACCGAAGAACCGAUGCCCAUCCCCACACUAGGCUGAAGUCACGGGCAUGGAGAAGCUAGAAAAGUUCUAUUUUAGUCUCACGCGCCACGUCUUUUUUCCUUUUCAUUUUUGGUAGGGGAGGUUGAAAAUAGGGGAGGAGAGAUUUCAAAGUAGAAAACUGAUUUCUCGUCAACAAGAUGAAAGUUUAUGUAGUCAAUUAAUUGAGAUAUUAAGAUCUCCAC